AGUGAACGCUGGCGGUAGGCCUAACACAUGCAAGUCGAACGGCAGCACAGUAAGAGCUUGCUCUUACGGGUGGCGAGUGGCGGACGGGUGAGGAAUACAUCGGAAUCUACUUUUUCGUGGGGGAUAACGUAGGGAAACUUACGCUAAUACCGCAUACGACCUACGGGUGAAAGCAGGGGAUCUUCGGACCUUGCGCGAUUGAAUGAGCCGAUGUCGGAUUAGCUAGUUGGCGGGGUAAGGGCCCACCAAGGCGACGAUCCGUAGCUGGUCUGAGAGGAUGAUCAGCCACACUGGAACUGAGACACGGUCCAGACUCCUACGAGAGGCAGCAGUGGGGAAUAUUGGACAAUGGGCGCAAGCCUGAUCCAGCCAUACCGCGUGGGUGAAGAAGGCCUUCGGGUUGUAAAGCCCUUUUGUUGGGAAAGAAAAGCAGCAGGUUAAUACCCCGCUGUUCUGACGGGACCCAAAGAAUAAGCACCGGCUAACUGCGU
rnacentral:rRNA from 1 species